rnacentral:tRNA from 1 species
GAGGGUAGAGCUCAGUAGUAGAGUGUGUGCUUAGCAUGCACCAGGUCCUGGGUUCAAUCCCCAGGGCCUCCA